GCUGGGUGUGAUGGCGCAUGCCUGUAAUACCAGCAGCUCUGGAGGCUGAGGCAGGAGGAUCGCAAGUUCAAAGCCAGCCUCAGAAGUUCAAAGCCAGCCUCAGCAGUUUAGCGAGGCCCUAAGUAACUCGGUGAGACCCUGUCUCUA
rnacentral:sRNA from 1 species